rnacentral:rRNA from 1 species
UGGGGAAUAUUGCACAAUGGGGGAAACCCUGAUGCAGCGACGCCGCGUGGACGAAGAAGCAUCUCGGUGCGUAAAGUCCUGUCAGCAGGGAAGAAAAAAGACAGUACCUGACCAAGAAGCCCCGGCUAACUACGUGCCAGCAGCCGCGGUAAUACGUAGGGGGCAAGCGUUAUCCGGAUUCACUGGGCGUAAAGGGAGCGCAGGCGGCACGGCAAGUCAGGUGUGAAAGCCCGGGGCCCAACCCCGGGACUGCACCUGAUACUGCCGGGCUGGAGUGCCGGAGGGGUAAGCGGAAUUCCUGGUGUAGCGGUGAAAUGCGCAGAUAUCAGGAGGAACACCGGUGGCGGAGGCGGCUUACUGGACGGCAACUGACGCUGAGGCUCGAAAGCGUGGGGAGCAAACAGG